AGGCUCAUAUGACAUUAACAGACAAGACACUUUUCAGAAAGACAGGCAACGUGUUGGACCUUCCUGAGCUUCUCAGAAGACAGAGGAUUUUCUUUUGAG
rnacentral:antisense_RNA from 1 species